AUUGAACGCUAGCGGCAGGCCUAACACAUGCAAGUCGAACGAGUGGCGGACGGGUGAGAAAUGUCUGGGCAACUGCCCGGUGGAGGGGGAUAACUACGGGAAACGGUAACUAAUACCGCAUACCAUCGGCGGUGCCCAGAUGGGUUUAGCUAGUUGGUAGGGUAACGGCGCACCUUGGCGACGAGCCCUAGCUGGUCUGAGAGGAUGACCAGCCACACUGGAACUGGGACACGGUCCAUACUCCUACGGGGGGCAGCAGUGGGGAAUAGUGCACAAUGGGCGAAAGCCUGAUGCAGCCAUGCCGCGUGUAUGAAGAAGGCCUUCGGGUUGUAACGUACUUGCGGUAGGGAGGCGUUACCGACAGAAGAAGCACCGGCUAACUACGUGCCAGCAGCCGCGGUAAUAC
rnacentral:rRNA from 1 species